AUUGAACGCUGGCGGAAUGCUUUACACAUGCAAGUCGAGCGGCAGCACGGGGGCAACCCUGGUGGCGAGCGGCGAACGGGUGAGUAAUACAUCGGAACAUGCCCAGUCGUGGGGGAUAACACUUCGAAAGAAGUGCUAAUACCGCAUACGUCCUGAGGGGGAAGGCGGGGGAUCGCAAGACCUCGCGCGAUUGGAGUGGCCGAUGUCAGAUUAGCUAGUUGGUGGGGUAAAGGCCUACCAAGGCAACGAUCUGUAGCUGGUCUGAGAGGAUGAUCAGCCACACUGGGACUGAGACACGGCCCAGACUCCUACGGGAGGCAGCAGUGGGGAAUUUUGGACAAUGGGGGCAACCCUGAUCCAGCCAUUCCGCGUGAGUGAAGAAGGCCUUCGGGUUGUAAAGCUCUUUCGGCAGGAACGAAACGGUGAGCUCUAACAUAGCUUGCUAAUGACGGUACCUGAAGAAGAAGCACCGGCUAACUACGUG
rnacentral:rRNA from 1 species